rnacentral:rRNA from 1 species
CGGUAAUACGUAGGUGGCAAGCGUUAUCCGGAAUUACUGGGCGUAAAGCGCACGCAGGUGGUUGGUUAAGAUUGACGUGAAAGCGCCUGGCUUAACUGGGCGAGGUCGUUGAUGACUGGCCGACUUGAGGCGAGGAGAGGGGUGUAGAAUUCCCGGUGUAGUGGUGGAAUGCGUAGAUAUCGGGAGGAAUACCAGUGGCGAAAGCGGCACCCUGGCCUUGGCCUGACGCUCAGGUGCGAAAGCGUGGGGAGCGAACGGGAUUAGAUACCCCGGUAGUCCACGCUGUAAACGAUGAACACUAGGUGUAGGUGGUGUCAAAGCCAUCGGUACCGAAGCCAACGCGAUAAGUGUUCCGCCUGGGGAGUACGACCGCAAGGUUAAA